CUCUGUAUCAGUGACCUUUCAAGUCGACUUUGUCGCAAAGAAACUCUAUUUUGUUGCUGAUGGGUGUGAAGCAAAUAGUUGGCCAAUAUCUUCCUCAACAGAAACACCAUUUAUAUAUAUAUUCUUAAAUUGGAUAUGUAAGUUUACUAUAUUAACUGUGUGUAUUAGAUUCUGAGAUAAGUCCUAUUGUCAUACAUAUUUAUAUUAACAGUCUUCGUCUUAAACUUCUCAUUGCUUUCUUCUUCCAACCCUUAAUAAGUCAUCUGUAAUUUGUUCUCCUUGAUAGAACACUGAUGUUCAUCAAAGUGCCCCUUAAUCACGUAAGCAGACCUCUGUCGAUGAACAUAUAAAAGAAUGGCUAGAAGCCGGGAAGCUGCAAAGGAUAGUUCUUGUGCUAAUGAGCAAAGCUACUAAUGAGGUUUCGGAGAGACGGAACUUCAGUAUCCAGACUGAUCAAGAGGUUUUCUAAAAAGGGGUCUGAGACUACUCAGAUAUUGACACUAGACAAUGGCUAAUUAUUGAUUUGUUGGAGUUCUAUUUCCACACCAAGCAGUUGAGAAUUUGAGAUGCAUCCUUAUUCAAUAGAUGAGAUAAGGGGAUUGCUGUGUUGAGAUUUACCUACUUUAGAGCCUCUGUGUCUGAAAAGCCAUUAUCACAUGGAAACCUGUGAGCUUCUGGUAUCAUGUUUGAUUUGUUUACCUCUACUUUAACAACUUUGAGUUUUAAAAAUAUCCGUUUGCCAAAAUCGUUAAGUGAUUUAAACCUGCCUGCUUCAAGGAGUCCGUAUCAUGGACUACAAGAUUCCUAAAAGACCUUGGGAUUUCCCAACUUUAUUGAGUCUAGAACUUGGUGAGAAUAAAUAUCCCAAUACCCAGAGUUCCUGUAUCGGAUAUAUUGUGCAUUCAAAGGCAGACUACCAAUCAAACUCAAGACCAUUUGCUCAGCGUCAAAUUUUGACUUGAGUUAGUACUACGUCUCUGUUGAUGCCAUCUCCCGUCGAAAAGUCCGGUAAAAUCUAAAUGCAUAGUUGAUAUGGAUUUUGCAAACAGUAUGUGGAUUGGCAUGUGUGCUAGCUCUGAUUAUAUGUUUUGCAAUUAUUAUGCAUAAGUUCACGCGACAUCUGCCUGAGGAGCCUGGCUCACCUGGUGGCAUCUCACAUUCAGCCCGUCUUCAGACAUUCCUCUCUUUUGUUGAUGAGAAGAAAGUGGAUUUAAAAUCUAAAUCCAAGCGAAUAAAUAUGGAAUUGGCUUCUAAUGUAGUGGUAGAUGAAGUUACAUCAGUGAACAGAUCAAAUAGAAGUUGUAAAUUCAUGUCUACAAACAAGAGUAUAAAUACUCAGGGUGCCAGUGAAACCACCUGAAACUGUUACAAAGUUUCAUGCCAGCAAGUUACAAAGCAUGAUGUAUCAUAGUUCAUUCGGUGCUGCAAACUAAUAUUCAGUACUUAGCCAUGCUGAAUUGUUAGUUUGUUGCUGGCAGCUUUAGACAGGAAAAGAUAAUGAGAGAUAUUGGUUUAUAUGUAACCUACAGGC